rnacentral:rRNA from 1 species
UGNGCUUGGCGGCAUGCCUAACACAUGCNAGUUCCNAACGGAAAACGAUGGGAGCUUGCUCCCAGGCGUCGAGUGGCGGACGGGUGAGUAAUGCUUAGGAAUCUGCCCAUGUAGUGGGGGACAACCUGGUGAAAACCAGGCUAAUACCGCAUAAGCCCUUCGGGGGAAAGCAGGGGAUCUUCGGACCUUGCGCUAUUGGAUGAGCCUAAGUCGGAUUAGCUUGUUGGUGGGGUAACGGCCUACCAAGGCGACGAUCCGUAGCUGGUCUGAGAGGAUGAUCAGCCACACUGGGACUGAGACACGGCCCAGACUCCUACGGGAGGCAGCAGUGGGGAAUAUUGGACAAUGGGGGCAACCCUGAUCCAGCAAUACCGCGUGUGUGAAGAAGGCCCGAGGGUUGUAAAGCACUUUCAGUAGGGAAGAAAAGCCUGAGGUUAAUAGCCUCGGGUCUUGACGUAACCUACAGAAGAAGCACCGGCUAACUCCGUGCCAGCAGCCGCGGUAAUACGAAGGGC